AGUGAACGCUGGCGGUAGGCCUAACACAUGCAAGUCGAACGGCAGCACAGAAAGAGCUUGCUCUUACGGGUGGCGAGUGGCGGACGGGUGAGGAAUACAUCGGAAUCUACUUUUUCGUGGGGGAUAACGUAGGGAAACUUACGCUAAUACCGCAUACGACCUACGGGUGAAAGCAGGGGAUCUUCGGACCUUGCGCGAUUGAAUGAGCCGAUGUCGGAUUAGCUAGUUGGCGGGGUAAAGGCCCACCAAGGCGACGAUCCGUAGCUGGUCUGAGAGGAUGAUCGGCCACACUGGAACUGAGACACGGUCCAGACUCCUACGGGAGGCAGCAGUGGGGAAUCUUGCGCAAUGGGCGAAAGCCUGACCGAGCAACGCCGCGUGAGUGAAGAAGGCCUUCGGUUCUUAAACCUCUUUUAUUAGGAAAGAAAAAAUGUGUAAGAAACCCCGCAUGUCUGGACGGUACCUAAUCAGAAAGCCCCGGCUAACUACGUG
rnacentral:rRNA from 1 species